CAGAGCCUUUCCCCACUGGAAUCUUUCACUGCUGUGGGGAAAGGCUCUGGCAGCAGGGAAGGGGCAGGACUCUACCCUACUAAAUAUAGCAGCGUAGACACGGGAGGCCCUGCAUGGGCAGGUAGGGUGCAUAGCCAUAGGGUUCAAGCGUCCCUUUACUUGCCUUAGCCAGGCCUCACCAUCUACACUGCUGUUACCCCCGUGCUAGCAGGGUCGAAAUAGCCCCAAGUGUAGACCUACCCAAAGCAACCACCUCUGUUCCUGGAGUCCUAAUUGACUGCGCUUGAAGAGGCUUGGGGAUUGCAAAGGAAGGCAGGGUCCAAGUUAACACCCUAGCCCAGCAGCAGCCCCUCUGGUGGGAAUUCGUCCUGGGCUCACUGCAAGGAAACAGUUCCCCCUUAGUUAGGACUUUGUAUUGUUCUUCCAAAAAAGUAAGGCAGAAACUAGUCAUGUAAGCCACUCACCACAGGGUGGCGCUGAUGCUCUGCCUCCCCUACGUUUUUCUCCUCUUAGGUCCCUUUGCAGCGAAUCAGAUUAUGGCUGGUCUCUGUGCCCAUUGAUGCAGUCUGAGUAGCAAGAGCCCUUCAGCCCCACGGUGACAUGGGCUGUUAUGUGUUUGAAUGAUUAAUCCUUCCUCUUCCUAUUCAAGGCCAGAAGGGCUGAGGUGCUGUUUCCCGAGGAGCUGUUCCAGGACUAGCGAGGAGCCUUUCCAAGCGUCACAGAAGCACGGGCCAGAGUUAACACGGCAUCGAGUUGGUUGUUGCAUAAUAAAGCUGCUGCUGAUUUCCAA